GUGUGUAGGCGGUUCUCUAAGUUUGGUGUGAAAUCUCCCGGCUCAACCGGGAGGGUGCGCCGAAAACUGGAGGGCUAGAGUGCGGGAAGGGAGGGUAGAAUUCCUGGUGUAGCGGUGAAAUGCGUAGAUAUCAGGAGGAAUACCGGUGGUGCAGACGGCUCUCUGGACCGCGACUGACGCUGAGACACGAAAGCGUGGGUAGCAAACAGGAUUAGAUACCCUGGUAGUCCACGCCCUAAACGAUGCAUAUUUGGUGUAGGUCAUUCAGUUGAUCUGUGCCGGAGCUAACGCGUUAAAUAUGCCGCCUGGGGAGUACAGUCGCAAGGCUGAAACUCAAAGGAAUUGACGGGGGCCCGCACAAGCGGUGGAGCAUGUGGUUCAAUUCGACGCAACGCGAAGAACCUUACCUGGGCUCGAACGGCUGGUUAACGGCAGUGGAAACAUUGCUACUCCGCAAGGAGGUCCAGUCGAGGUGCUGCAUGGCUGUCGUCAGCUCGUGUCGUGAGAUGUUGGGUUAAGUCCCGCAACGAGCGCAACCCUUGUCCUGUGUUGCCAUUCCGCAAGGAGGGACUCGCAGGAGACCGCCAGCGAUAAGCUGGAGGAAGGUGGGGAUGACGUCAAGUCCUCAUGGCCUUUAUGUCCAGGGCUACACACGUGCUACAAUGGCCGGUACAAAGCGCCGCUAAGUCGCGAGACGGAGCCAAUCGCAAAAAACCGGUCUCAGUUCGGAUUGCAGGCUGCAACUCGCCUGCAUGAAGCUGGAAUCGCUAGUAAUGGCGUAUCAGAACGAUGCCGUGAAUACGUUCCCGGGCCUUGUACACACCGCCCGUCACAUCACGAAAGUGGGUUGUACUAGAAGUCUGCAGGCUGACCCGCAAGGGA
rnacentral:rRNA from 1 species